GAACGCUAGCGGGAGGCCUAACACAUGCAAGCCGAGCGGUAGAGUCUCUUCGGAGACUUGAGAGCGGCGCACGGGUGCGGAACACGUGUGCAACCUGCCUUUAUCUGGGGGAUAGCCUUUCGAAAGGAAGAUUAAUACCCCAUAAUAUAUUGAGUGGCAUCACUUGAUAUUGAAAACUCCGGUGGAUAGAGAUGGGCACGCGCAAGAUUAGAUAGUUGGUGAGGUAACGGCUCACCAAGUCAGCGAUCUUUAGGGGGCCUGAGAGGGUGAUCCCCCACACUGGUACUGAGACACGGACCAGACUCCUACGGGAGGCAGCAGUGAGGAAUAUUGGACAAUGGGUGAGAGCCUGAUCCAGCCAUCCCGCGUGAAGGACGACGGCCCUAUGGGUUGUAAACUUCUUUUGUAUAGGGAUAAACCUAGAUACGUGUAUCUAGCUGAAGGUACUAUACGAAUAAGCACCGGCUAACUCCGUGCCAGCAGCCGCGGUAAUACGGAGGGUGCAAGCGUUAUCCGGAUUUAUUGGGUUUAAAGGGUCCGUAGGCUGAUUUGUAAGUCAGUGGUGAAAUCUCACAGCUUAACUGUGAAACUGCCAUUGAUACUGCAAGUCUUGAGUGUUGUUGAAGUAGCUGGAAUAAGUAGUGUAGCGGUGAAAUGCAUAGAUAUUACUUAGAACACCAAUUGCGAAGGCAGGUUACUAAGCAACAACUGACGCUGAUGGACGAAAGCGUGGGGAGCGAACAGGAUUAGAUACCCUGGUAGUCCACGCCGUAAACGAUGCUAACUCGUUUUUGGGUUUUCGGAUUCAGAGACUAAGCGAAAGUGAUAAGUUAGCCACCUGGGGAGUACGAACGCAAGUUUGAAACUCAAAGGAAUUGACGGGGGCCCGCACAAGCGGUGGAUUAUGUGGUUUAAUUCGAUGAUACGCGAGGAACCUUACCAAGGCUUAAAUGGGAAAUGACAGGUUUAGAAAUAGACUUUUCUUCGGACAUUUUUCAAGGUGCUGCAUGGUUGUCGUCAGCUCGUGCCGUGAGGUGUUAGGUUAAGUCCUGCAACGAGCGCAACCCCUGUCACUAGUUGCCAUCAUUAAGUUAGGGACUCUAGUGAGACUGCCUACGCAAGUAGAGAGGAAGGUGGGGAUGACGUCAAAUCAUCACGGCCCUUACGCCUUGGGCCACACACGUAAUACAAUGGCCGGUACAGAGGGCAGCUACACAGUGAUGUGAUGCAAAUCUCGAAAGCCGGUCUCAGUUCGGAUUGGAGUCUGCAACUCGACUCUAUGAAGCUGGAAUCGCUAGUAAUCGCGCAUCAGCCAUGGCGCGGUGAAUACGUUCCCGGGCCUUGUACACACCGCCCGUCAAGCCAUGGAAGUCUGGGGUACCUGAAGUCGGUGACCGUAACAGGAGCUGCCUAGGGUAAAACAGGUAACUAGGGC
rnacentral:rRNA from 1 species